rnacentral:rRNA from 1 species
CAGUCGCCGCGGUAAUACGAAGGGGGCUAGCGUUGUUCGGAAUUACUGGGCGUAAAGCGCACGUAGGCGGAUAUUUAAGUCAGGGGUGAAAUCCCGCAGCUCAACUGCGGAACUGCCUUUGAUACUGGGUAUCUUGAGUAUGGAAGAGGUUAGUGGAAUUGCGAGUGUAGAGGUGAAAUUCGUAGAUAUUCGCAGGAACACCAGUGGCGAAGGCGGCUAACUGGUCCAUAACUGACGCUGAGGUGCGAAAGCGUGGGGAGCAAACAGGAUUAGAUACCCCCGUAGUCCCUGUCUCUUAUAA